rnacentral:tRNA from 1 species
GCCUUUAUGGCCAAGUUGGUAAGGCACCUCACUAGUAAUGAGGAGAUCCUCAGUUCGAAUCUGAGUGAAGGCA